UACAGAGGUCUCAAGCGUUGUUCGGAUUCAUUGGGCGUAAAGGGUGCGUAGGUGGCGCCGUAAGUCAGGUGUGAAAUUUCAGAGCUUAACUCCGAAACUGCAUUUGAUACUGCGGUGCUUGAGGACUGGAGAGGAGACUGGAAUUCACGGUGUAGCAGUGAAAUGCGUAGAUAUCGUGAGGAAGACCAGUGGCGAAGGCGGGUCUCUGGACAGUUCCUGACACUGAGGCACGAAGGCCAGGGGAGCAAACGGG
rnacentral:rRNA from 1 species